UUUGCUUUUAAAUUAACAAGACGGUUCUACUAGCAAUUGUUUAAGUCGUGCCCACUUGCCAAGUGCUGCAGUGAGACAGCAGGUAGUUUCUCUGUCAAAGGCAAUGCUAGAGGCAAGAUGGAUAAAACCAACUUCUACACUUAAGGUUAUCUUUGAAAUAUUUAUGAAUAUGUUCAGGAAAAAAGCCUUGACUACUCCGUGCGACAACAAUGGAUAGAGUUGAUUUUCUUCUAGAACGUCAUCAUCAAUGUUAUUACUAUUGUUGCUAUUAUAUUAUUGUUAUUAUAUAGGAUACUGUAGAAAUUCUUCUACAAUAAAACUUUGAAAACUG